AAGUCGUAACAAGGUUUCCGUAGGAACCUGCGGAAGGAUCAACGUUAAACCCCCCGUGAACCUUUGUUGUGCUCGUCUGCCUGUUGGAAAGCGGCAAUCCCUGGUAGAUCAUCGCCGAACAGUUUUGAUUCAGGGACUUCCGCGGAGCGAGGAAAACGAGGUGAGACAAGUGGUCUGGCAUCCCUCUGGUUGUUAGUGUCUGACAGUGUCACGGAUGGCAGUAACGAUCGCUAGAGACCGACACGGCCGGCGACCGGACCGCCGGGCUAUACACUCCUUUAUCACCUUUGCAUGAAAACGGGCCUAACCGAACAACUGUUAACAAUGGAUAUCUUGGUUCUC
rnacentral:misc_RNA from 1 species